AACGAACGCUGGCGGCAUGCCUUACACAUGCAAGUCGAACGGCAGCACGGGUGCUUGCACCUGGUGGCGAGUGGCGAACGGGUGAGUAAUAUAUCGGAACGUGCCCUAGAGUGGGGGAUAACGUAGCGAAAGUUACGCUAAUACCGCAUACGAUCUACGGAUGAAAGUGGGGGAUCGCAAGACCUCAUGCUCCUGGAGCGGCCGAUAUCUGAUUAGCUAGUUGGUGGGGUAAAAGCCUACCAAGGCGACGAUCAGUAGCUGGUCUGAGAGGACGACCAGCCACACUGGGACUGAGACACGGCCCAGACUCCUACGGGAGGCAGCAGUGGGGGAAUUUUGGACAAUGGGGGCAACCCUGAUCCAGCAAUGCCGCGUGAGUGAAGAAGGCC
rnacentral:rRNA from 1 species